ACUUUGCUUUUAUUCUCAUGAUUAAUAAGCUUUAGUUUUUUCGCAUGUUCAUCUAGAAAGAAUGUUAUUGAACCCUAAUUUCAGAUUGAAGGGUUUCUAAGGAUCUGCUUUAAUUUCAAUUGUCGAUUUUUAAGAUUUAAUGUUUCUAAAUGCUUAUUUGCCAAUGAUUCUGGUCUUUUACUAUUUGAUUCCGUGGAUUAUUUUGUCUCAUAUGGUUGGUAUUUGGAUUUUGUCUCAUCCUAUGGUUGGUUGCGCUAGUAAUGAUCAUCAGGAAAGAUAAGCACUUGAAUAAGGUUGAUGUUGCAGAUGAUGGAGAUGUGCGUGCAUCUGCUUAGUGUUGCCCUCAAAGGGGUGGGGGACGAAUCAUAGGAGCAAUUGAAGGUUCUGCAGCAGCAUGUGACUGAGCUAGAGGCGGAAGUGGAGGCCUUGAGGUCGAAGUCGUCGCUUUAGGAGGCAUUGGAGAAGGAUAAGAGUAAGAGGAUGUGAGCAAGUUCCAUGAGAUGAUGAGAAUCUCGACAAGAAUGUGAAGAAAGUGCAAAAAGUUUUGUUGGGAAAGAGAAGGCAUUGGAGGCCAAAAGGGAAGAGAAGAGGAUUUUACAGGAGAAUGAGGAGUUGAAGAAGAUAGCCUAAUCACGGAGUUUUAACAAGAGGGAUAUGGAGAGAAUGAAGAGGGAAUUGCAAGUUGUGGAGGGGGACAUUAGGGAAGCGGAGCUGCUAGAAAUGUGCGGGAGAAGAAGGUUUAGGAUUUGGAUAGCAAGCUUGGCCCACAGGUUAAGGAGUUGUUGGAGGCUUUAGCCAUGGAGUGGAACCAACUCAUGAGGAGACGUUGGGGAUGUGCGUGCAUCUGGUUAGUGUUGCUGUCAUAAACGAGCAUAAGCAUGUUGCACAUAUUUUACUUCAGUCAGUAAGAGGAGCCACAUAAUACUUCCACAGGUGAUCAGAGAAGUUCGCCAAGAGACAUAAAUUCAUAGUGUUAGAAGGCUACCCAGGAUGGAACGAAGGGCACCCAGGAUGAAAUAAUGGUUGUUAAUCUGUUAUGAUUUAAGAAGGCUGCCUUGGAUUUUACUUUUUGGCCACAAGAGUGAUCGUUGACAAAAAACAAUUUAUCUUAAUUAUAAAUUUUCAUUUUUUUUUUUUGGG